AUUGAACGCUGGCGGCAGGCCUAACACAUGCAAGUCGAACGAGUGGCGGACGGGUGAGUAAUGUCUGGGAAACUGCCCGAUGGAGGGGGAUAACUACUGGAAACGGUAGCUAAUACCGCAUACCAUCGGAUGUGCCCAGAUGGGAUUAGCUAGUAGGUGGGGUAACGGCUCAUCUAGGCGACGACCCCUAGCUGGUCUGAGAGGAUGACCGGCAACACUGGAACGGAGACACGGUCCAGACUCCGACGGGAGGCAGCAGGGGGGAAUAUUGCACAUUGGGCGCAAGCCUGAUGCAGCCAUGCCGCGUGUAUGAAGAAGGCCUUCGGGUGGUAAAGUACUUUCAGCGAGGAGGCGUUACCCGCAGAAGAAGCACCGGCUAACGCCGUGCCAGCAGCCGCGGUAAUUC
rnacentral:rRNA from 1 species